rfam:Sorghum bicolor cultivar BTx623 chromosome 1, whole genome shotgun sequence.
GUGGAAGGGGCAUGCAGAGGAGCACGAGGCUUGGCUGGAAGCCGACCUACGCCUCGCUGGCUCUCCUGUGCCUGCCUCUUCCAUU